GGGACCUCUUGCUGCUGGCGCACAGGGGGGCGCCCGUGUGUGCCGGUAGAGCUGGCAGCGGAGAAGGUGGAGCCGGGGCCUCUGGUCAAGUACUUGUUGAACUCCCACGUGGGUCGAAAACCUAGAUGUGGCCCUUGUUUGUGUGCAUAGCCUCAGCCGAGAGCCAGGCCGAAGUGUCCCCGAGGUCCUCUUGAGCCAAACCUUGAAUCUCGUUGCUUGGCGAUGUGCCCUGCGUUUGCCGUGUGGGCAGUGAAUUAGAAGGAAGCAGGAGAGGGGGUUAUUGCCCUCAGCUGGCUUGAGGACAGAGCACCCCCCUCGUCCCCCAGUGUUGCAGUCCAGGCCUCCACUGGGCUCCGGGCUCCGCGGAUGACCGUGGCAGAAGUUCACGGCAGAGCAGCUUGUCAAAGUCAGGGCACCUCCCAGGAAAACCACGGGUGUGCUUGUGCAAAGUUCUCCGUUGCUGCUGGACCCAGAGCCCUGGGGACGCACGCCUUCCUCUAGAUGUUGGCUGUUGUGCCUUUGAAAAGCCUUUGAGCACCCCUUGGGAGGCCCCCCUUUUCCGGUGGGAAGUUAGGGGGGGUCCUCGGCAGUGGCUGGUUGGAGGGGGACCAGGCUGGGCUCGGAGAAGGUGGCAGGCAGAGCUCGGCUUUCUCCAAUCCUCUCGUUUCCCUGCUUGUCAAUCAUCACAUUUCCUCCGGCGGAAAACCAUUUCCCCCCCAAGCCCAGGUCUACGCAGACGGACUUGGCUCAGGUGCACCGAGAGCUGUGCACGGUCCAGUGUUUUGCCAGGAGCUGAGAGCGACUCCUGUCCCCACGUCUAGCGAGCCCCGGGGCAGGGACUGCAUCGGUCCCCCGUCCUUGUCUGUCUUCUCUGUGAAUUGUACGUUUCAGAGAAUUACUGUUGUUUUCCUACGUGCAACACCAAGCUUCCAGAUCCAUAAAACCUCCUGAUGAUAAAGGAAAGAAGAUGUUUCGUUGGGUUUGGUUUUCCGGAAACUGCGCUUCAAAUGUUGCUGUACUAUAUAGAGCUCAGAAGGACACGCUGCAUCCUCGUUCGCCUGCCUGAUUCCACGGUGGUUGUGCUGAUGGCGACGCUUUGACGUUGCUCCCCUGGCCUUGGAACCGCUCCUCUUUGCAGCCCUGUUUCCCCAGUUCUGUUCAAGUUCCACGUAUGUAAACUCUCUGUGGCACGCUGGGUGCGGCGCCCACGUUGCUGCUGCGCGAGACUCUGUAUUUGGAUGCCAAUCCACAGCCCUGAUGAAAUCGCUUGUUGUGUAUCAGUAAUCAUUAGUGGCAAUGAUGACAUUCUGAAAAGCUGCAAUACUUAUACAAUAAAUUUUACAAUUCUUUGGA
ensembl:lncRNA